AUGGAUCAGCGGCCGUCGCUCUUCUCGCCGUACCAGAUGCGCCGCUUCAGCCUCGCCCACCGGGUGGUGCUGGCGCCGCUGACGCGGUGCAGGGCCAUCGGCGGCCUGCCGGGGCCGGCGUUGGCGGAGUACUACGCACAGCGCUCCACCGACGGAGGGCUGCUCAUCUCAGAGGCCACUGCCAUCUCGCCGGCAGGGGCGGGGUUUCCUCGUGUCCCUGGAAUAUACAACCAAGAGCAGAUAUAUGCAUGGAAAAAGGUGGUAGAUGCUGUUCAUGCCAAGGGAAGCAUAUUUUUCUGCCAAUUGUGGCACGCCGGCAGGGCUUCUCAUCAAGCAUAUCUGCCAGACGGCGCUGCUCCAAUAUCGUCCACUGAGAAGCCGAUAUCAGCAAGCCGGAAGACACUGUUGCCUGAUGGUUCCUAUGGCACGUAUCCCGUGCCAAGGUGCCUCGCCACAUCGGAGAUACCGGAAGUAGUCGAGCAAUAUCGCCAAGCUGCCGUAAACGCCAUCGAAGCAGGCUUCGACGGUGUGGAGAUCCACGCUGCCCAUGGUUUCAUCAUCGACCAGUUCCUCAAGGACGGCGUCAACGACCGGACCGACGAGUACGGCGGGUCGCUCCCCAGCCGCUGUCGUUUCCUACUCGAGGUGACCCGGGCCACGGUGUCGGCCGUUGGACCGGACCGGGUCGCGGUCAGGGUGUCGCCCACCAUCGAUAACCUCGACGCCUACGACUCGGAUCCUGCGCGGCUCGGCAUGGCCGUCGUCGAGCGGCUGAACGCCCUCCAGGAAGAAGUUUCCAGCGGCGGUCAGCUUGCCUACCUCCACCUGUCGCGGGCAAUGCACGGCGGUGGCAACGCCGAGGAGGAGGGCCGUCUCAUGCGCGCCAUGCGGGACGCGUACCGUGGGACGUUCAUGUGCGGCGGUGGCUACACCCGGGAGCUCGGCAUGGAGUCGGUGGAGCGUGGCGACGCCGACCUGGUGUCGUACGGGAGGCACUUCAUCGCAAACCCGGACCUGGUGGAGCGGUUCAAGCUCGAUGCAGGACUCAACGAGUUCGUGAGGAAGACGUUCUACACUCCGGACCCCGUCGUGGGCUACACGGACUACCCGUUCCUCGACAGCCAGCCUGAAUCGCGCAUGCAGUAG
rnacentral:rRNA from 1 species